rnacentral:rRNA from 1 species
GACGAACGCUGGCGGCGUGCUUAACACAUGCAAGUCGCACGAUGAAGCCGGAGCUUGCUCCGGUGGAUUAGUGGCGAACGGGUGAGUAACACGUGAGCAAUCUGCCCUUGACUCUGGGAUAACUGCGGGAAACUGUAGCUAAUACCGGAUACGACACCUUGGGGCAUCCCAGGGUGUGGAAAGAAAUUCGGUCAAGGAUGAGCUCGCGGCCUAUCAGCUAGUUGGUGAGGUAAUGGCUCACCAAGGCGACGACGGGUAGCCGGCCUGAGAGGGUGACCGGCCACACUGGAACUGAGACACGGUCCAGACUCCUACGGGAGGCAGCAGUGGGGAAUAUUGCACAAUGGGCGAAAGCCUGAUGCAGCAACGCCGCGUGAGGGAUGAAGGCCUUCGGGUUGUAAACCUCUUUUAGCAGGGAAGAAGCGAAAGUGACGGUACCUGCAGAAAAAGCACCGGCUAACUACGUGCCAGCCGCCGCAGUAA